GAUGAACGCUGGCGGCGUGCUUAACACAUGCAAGUCGAACGGAAAGGCCCAAGCUUGCUUGGGUACUCGAGUGGCGAACGGGUGAGUAACACGUGGGUGAUCUGCCCUGCACUUCGGGAUAAGCCUGGGAAACUGGGUCUAAUACCGGAUAGGACCACAUUUUGGAUGGUGUGGUGGAAAGUUUUUCGGUGUGGGAUGAGCUCGCGGCCUAUCAGCUUGUUGGUGGGGUAAUGGCCUACCAAGGCGUCGACGGGUAGCCGGCCUGAGAGGGUGUACGGCCACAUUGGGACUGAGAUACGGCCCAGACUCCUACGGGAGGCAGCAGUGGGGAAUAUUGCACAAUGGGCGCAAGCCUGAUGCAGCGACGCCGCGUGGGGGAUGACGGCCUUCGGGUGGUAAACUCCUUUCGCUAGGGACGAAGCGCAAGUGACGGUACCUGGAGAAGAAGCACCGGCGAACUACGU
rnacentral:rRNA from 1 species